AGUACUCAGAAAAUAUAUAGAGGAAGACCAUAGAUACGGGAUAAAACAAAACAACUCCUUCAGAGGGGAAAAACACAACGGAGGAGUCACUCUCCAACUGUAGCAUGCAUGGAGGAAUUCCCAAGCAGUCUGCCAUCCAUACACUUCCCGGAUCGAAACAUAUUUAGUUUCAGCAAGGCUGCUGCAUUGUGUGCCAUCAGACUAUGCUUGUGAUUCCGGAGCUGUUUGUUUCCUGUACACAAAAUAAAUGUUAAUCCAUGAUGA